GAUGAAGAACGAAGUGAAAUGCGAUAACUAGUGUGAAUUGCAGAAUUCCGUGAAUCAUCGAGUCUUUGAACGCACAUUGCGCCCCCUGGUAUUCCGGGGGGCAUGCCUGUCCGAGCGUCAUUGCUGCCCAUCAAGCACGGCUUGUGUGUUGGGUCGUCGUCCCCUCUCCGGGGGGGACGGGCCCCAAAGGCAGCGGCGGCACCGCGUCCGAUCCUCGAGCGUAUGGGGCUUUGUCACCCGCUCUGUAGGCCCGGCCGGCGCUUGCCGAACGCAAAUCAAUCUUUUUCCAGGUUGACCUCGGAUCAGGUAGGGAUACCCGCUGAACUUAAGCAUAUCAAUAAGCGGAGGA
rnacentral:misc_RNA from 1 species